UACGGGGGGGCAAGCGUUGUUCGGAAUUACUGGGCGUAAAGGGCUCGUAGGCGGCCAACUAAGUCGGACGUGAAAUCCCCAGGCUCAACCUGGGAACUGCAUCCGAUACUGGAUGGCUUGAAUUCGGGAGAGGGAUGCAGAAUUCCAGGUGUAGCGGUGAAAUGCGUAGAUAUCUGGAGGAAUACCGGUGGCGAAGGCGGCAUCCUGGACCGACAUUGACGCUGAGGAGCGAAAGCCAGGGGAGCAAACGGGG
rnacentral:rRNA from 1 species